rnacentral:lncRNA from 1 species
UCACCUCUAUUCCAUGACUCUCGAAUCUGUAUUCUCACUCAAUUUUUCACUGACACUCUAAUUCAGGUGCCCACAAGCAUCUCCAGCCGGACCUGUCAUCAUCACAGACUCUACGUGCUUCAAACUGAAAUCAUUGUCACCAUUCUCAUUACUCCUUCUCACAGCCUCACUAGGUUCUGCCGCCUAGGCUUAAAAGCCUGGAGCCAUCCGUUUGUUCAUUCAACAAUUACUCACAUGUGUAUCUUUUGUGUCCUAUAGCCUUUCUAGCCCACCAUAACCAAAAUUUUAGCCCCUUUUAUUCCAACUCAAAAUGUCAUCUUCCUUUCUCUCCAGUUAUCCCAGUCAUAGCUACCUUCAAGGCUCAAUUUUAGUCCUAAGUCAUCUCUCCCUUCUCUGAAUGUCUGAUGCAUUUAUUUGCCAUAGUAUCAUUUGGGUACUUAAUACAACACUGCUUUGCACAGUUACCUGUUUCGUGAGUUACGUUUUACACCGUCAGUUAUGUUACAUAGACAUACUUCCAAGCUCUGGAUGAAAGGAACUGUAUGGAUUUUUUUAAAGGACCUGUCUACCCUGGCACAUAAGUAAAUGAGCUGAGCUUUAUGCAAUGCUUAUCUCAGGACCUGGUGCAAAAUAACAGCCUAAAAAUAUAGGUUUGAAAAAAUCGUGAGAAACAUUUGGUAAACUGAAUAAGACUGAACUGCACAAAACGCUCCCCCAAAAUGUCCGCAGCCCCGGUUUUGCCUCUUCUACCAGCUCUAGUGGAAGGCUAUGAAUACUGGACC